ACUUCCGCCGGCGCUGCGUGUUUGGAGCAGUGUUCCGCUCUCGUGGCUGCACUUUCCGCGUGUCCUCCCAAUCUGCCGGCAUCCGCGCACCUCCGCGCCUUCCCACACUCUUGGCUGUAUCUCCGCCGUUGUCCCGUGCGGUCUGUUGCAGCCUCCUCGGCCCUGCGCAGAUGAAGACCCUCCCCCGGACGGCUUUGCGGGCCCUGCCUCAGCCGGCGCCCCCUUCUCUCCUGCAGGACCCGGACCCGCACUGCAGGGGCUGAGUGCCCCCUGGGAGUGUCACGUGACUGCUGUCGUAUGGGAGAUGUGGUCAGGAAGAGCCUGGCUAUGAGCCUCAGGCUGGUGGUGGAGCUACCCUGGGGCCCAUUGCCUCCUAGGACUUCCUUCCUGGACCCUUGCUCUGCCUUCUCCUCACUCAGUCCUUCCCACAUCCUCAGCCCUGCUUCGGCACUAAUCCCUCCUGGACAGUGUGGACUUGUUGGGUGUACCCCCCCCAUGCUGUAAUCUUGAGGGCAGUGCCUCUGUCGUGUUUUGCGUUGUGUGUGUUGCCUGAUAUAUGGCACCUGGACAAAAAUAACAACUGAAGAGCUGGUGGUGACACGGUUGGUACAGGGUGCUGGGGCCCAGGGCUUCUCCUAUUGCAGGGUCAGGGAGCCAUGCCCUCCAGCAGGCCAGCCUGUGGGGGUUGAGCCUGUCUCUUCUCACUGGAAGUGUUGAGUUUGUAAUGAAAGGUAGACUUGUUAUCAUCUACCUUUGAUCCUGGCCACGAGCAGGGCCUGUGGCCCUUUGGGGGUGGUUUCCUAAUAACUGACCUGCACGAAGCACAGAAUAGUCAAGGCUGUGUAUGUCCAUGGCCCUUAUACUAGAUGGUAGACAGGGGCCCACUGAAAGGAUGAAAAUGCAGCCUAACCCUCCAAGACCCCAAGAAGGUAGUGAAGAGCCCUAACUCCAGCUUCCUAGAAAGCCCUAGUGACCUAUCUCAACUGCAAUCUGUCACUCCGCCCAGGAGCUCGCGCAAAUGCGGACCUCCGGAACUGUAGAAAAAUGAUUGGUCCACGGAGCGUGGGCUCUCGAUGUUUUAAAAUGAUUGGUUUGCGAAGCGCGGGCUUUGUUGUGAACCCCAUAAAAGCUGUCCCGAUUCCGCACUCGGGGCCGCAGUCCUCUACCCCUGCGUGGCGUACGACUGUGGGCCCCAGCGCGCUUGGAAUAAAAAUCCUCUUGCUGUUUGCAUCAA
ensembl:lncRNA